rnacentral:rRNA from 1 species
GAAUUCACUAGUGAUUCAGGCCUAACACAUGCAAGUCGAGCGGUAGAGAGAAGCUUGCUUCUCUUGAGAGCGGCGGACGGGUGAGUAAUGCCUAGGAAUCUGCCUGGUAGUGGGGGAUAACGUUCGGAAACGGACGCUAAUACCGCAUACGUCCUACGGGAGAAAGCAGGGGACCUUCGGGCCUUGCGCUAUCAGAUGAGCCUAGGUCGGAUUAGCUAGUUGGUGAGGUAAUGGCUCACCAAGGCGACGAUCCGUAACUGGUCUGAGAGGAUGAUCAGUCACACUGGAACUGAGACACGGUCCAGACUCCUACGGGAGGCAGCAGUGGGGAAUAUUGGACAAUGGGCGAAAGCCUGAUCCAGCCAUGCCGCGUGUGUGAAGAAGGUCUUCGGAUGUAA